CUGCCAGUUCCUUGUGUGGCAGGUAACAGAGGGUUCGUAUCUACUUUCUGAAAGGCACUCAAUGCACUUAACUGACGUGAGGCAGAUCAGGCAACAGAGGGCACACAGACAGCAGAGCUGGUGACAGGUGGGCAGGGACAGACUGGCAGAGACAGGGAGUCUCAGGAGACUGAGUCAGUGAGGGUGGUGAAAGGGAAAGAGACAAGGAGAGAGACUUCAGAGGACAGUGUCACAGCCACGGCAGAACCAGGGUUCAUGCCAGGAUUUUUUUCGAGACCUGAUAUUGAAGAACAUUCAACAUGAGGCCUAUGUUUUUCAUCUGCACUGGCUUGGGAGAAAAAAACAGACAUUUCAGUGUGAGUCCUAUUUGAUUGAUUUUCUCUCUACUAAAUGCAAAGGAAUUACAUGUAUUUCAAAUAUGUAUUUUGUAUGUUUUAUUACACUGGGCUGAACUACACUGUAAUCUAUUUUUUAACCAGAUACUUUCUAAAGCUGUAAUAUGUAUUUUCAAAAUACAAUUUGUUUUUGGUACAUAUUUGUAUCUUUAUUUUUUUUAAUUAUAACUGGUUUGGCAUGUAUUUGUUUUGUGAGGGCUGUUUACCAGGUUUAUUUGCCAUUAAGUAGUAUGCUUUCUUUUGAGUUUAACCUAUAGUUGUUGGCGCUCUUCAAAAGGUUAAGAUCACAUUCCUGCUUAAAUUCAGACAUUUUAUUUUUUGAUGGGCUUUUUCUAAAAUAGUGAUUUAUUUUUCUUUCAUUUUUAACUCAGAUGUACAGUAACUUUUGACGAGUAUGAGAUUAUCAUUCCCCUAAUGUACACCUUAAAUGCAUCUGAAAUUAUAUUAGGGUUAGGCUUUUCCCAUCCUCUAUGUCUACAUUUGUAAUGGCAAUUUUAUUUUUAUUUUUUUCAUAUACUUAUUUAAUACAUUUCGGGUUUUGAACAUGUGCUCUGUUCAUUCUCCAUAUUCUGUCGCUAAGUGUAUUUUCUGUUGGUGUAAUUAAACAUGAUAGAAGAUCAGAGAAUGAUCAAUAUUAUUGUCAUGUUUAACCCAGUAAAUUGUUUAGGGUAUUUUUUAAAAUAAAAUAAAUGUAAUCAA
ensembl:lncRNA